rnacentral:rRNA from 1 species
UACGUAGGGGGCUAGCGUUGUCCGGAAUCAUUGGGCGUAAAGAGCGUGUAGGCGGUCCGGUAAGUCCGCUGUGAAAGUCGGGGGCUCAACCCUCGAAUGCCGGUGGAUACUGUCGGGCUAGAGUGCGGUAGGGGAGACUGGAAUUCCUGGUGUAGCGGUGGAAUGCGCAGAUAUCAGGAGGAACACCGGGUGGCGAAGGCGGGUCUCUGGGCCGUAACUGACGCUGAGGAGCGAAAGCAUGGGGAGCGAACAGG